CACCAUCACCUAAUUCCCCCUGAGAUCCAGCGAGUGUAUUUGCACUUGGUUAUAAGUGCAGAGAGCCCUGGAAUCUUUAUCAGGAGAACAGAAUUUGGGUGGUAGCCUUGUCGCAUACCAGAUCAGUCCCUAUGGGAGACGCCGGCUGCCAUGUUGUGAAGAUACUCAAGCAAUCCUAUGGAGAGGUACACAUUGUGAAACACCGAGGCCUCCUGCCAAUAGCCAGCAUGGAGCUGGGGUUUCCUGCUAACUACUAAAAAAGAGUGACUCGUCUUGGGGGCAGGUUCUUCAGCCCUAGUUAAACCUUCAGAUGAUCAAAACCCCUGUUGAUAGCAUGACUGAAAACUCAUAAGAGACUCCAAACGAGAAGCACGCAGCUGAACCUCUCUUACGUACCUGACCCACAAAAACCACACACUAACAAAGGGGGAGGAGUAUGUUUUGCAUUACAAUCCCUGAAAAACAAGGAGCCACCAACGGGAGUAGCGGAGGCGUCUUCAUCACGGGAGUGCAAAUGCCAUCCAUCCUUUGAGGGCAGCAGGAAGGUGGGCACGGACGAUCAGAGAACCGCUCCAGAAGACAAGAGAUGCCGGCAAACUUCGUUUUCCUUUUUCUUCUCUGUGGUCCAAAUGAUGUAUUGGACUCGUAUGCCUAUUUUCCCCUUCUGGGAAAGUUAAAAAGAAAAACUUCUUCCGGAUAUCUGUGGCUCCUCCCCCUCAGAAAAGCCAAACAGCCUCAAAGAGAGAAAACGGGGUGCUUUUCCUGAUGCCAUUGAAGGGUCGUUUCUGGACCUACCUCCAGAAACCCCUCUACCCUAUUCCAAAGCUGCCUUAAUGGGACGGCUUUUCCAAUAUCCAGGCGGGUUCAUCAUUUCCUUACACCAACCACUUGCUAAUGAUAAGGAGCAAAAUUAGAUUAGUUUUGUGGAGGCAGGAAUCGAUAUCCCGGUGUAUGUGGAGCCGAUUAGACAUUGCUAAUUAGAGCUCUCAGACAUUAAUCAAAUACCACGUAUGGGGCUGAUCAGCCAAUUCGGGCAGCGUAAAAAUCUAUCAUGUCCCAAGUUUCUCCUUGAAUGUUCCAACCUGGUUCACCUUGAAACCCGACCUGAAGACAGAAUCCCUGCCGGAGGUCUGCAUAACUGGGCUAGGAAGCUGUGCCGUUUCACAGCUCCUGAGCCUUCUGGAGCAGGAGGCCGACCUGAUGUCAUCAGGCUCCUUCUUAAACAAACACAAGCUCCAUCCUGCAGCCUUGACACCCUUUUCAUUGACUCUGUGGCAGCUGUGGCUCUGUGCCAGCUGCAGGCUGGACCCAGAGAGGCAGACCAGCACCCCAGGCCUGAACGACAAAUAAAACUAAAUGCUCACUAACUAAUAUAUUAUUCAUGUAAGAGACCAAUUGCCCAUCAUGCUACGUACUUGUAUUCAUACAAUUAUUCCUGUGUGUUUAAAUAAUGAAUGUUAGGUUUGUGUUUACUAACACAAAUCACUGAUUAAUCUGUGUUCAAGUCAAACACUGCCUUAUAGGAACACUUUGAAAUACUGUACUAGAUCAGCGCUCGCCUACUGAAUUUAGGGAUAGUUGCUAUAAUGUUAAUUCUACAGCAUGUGAUUGAGUUCUUUAGUUUGACUGAAUCUAUUGGAUAAACUAGGCUUGAAUAAAGAGUCUGUUGAUAAUGCCGGGCAAAUCCAGAUGUGAUUUAAGAUUUAUGGAACGUAUUAGAAAUAUUUCCAAGCACCUAUGUCCUUAAUUUCUGAUUCCUUAAUGCAUCUGAAUGUUAUCUUGUAAAAAGCUAUUUUUUUGCCCAAUAAACUCUUUUGAGCUCCC
rnacentral:lncRNA from 1 species